CCUUCUCCUUCCGGAAGUGAUGUUAGCUCCCCCUCACCAGCGGCGGCGGCUCUAGACCCGGGCGCGGCGGGUGACGGAGGCGGCGGCCCGAGGAGCGGGCGGGAUCAUGGCGGACGGCGUGGACCACAUAGACAUCUACGCCGAUGUGGGCGAGGAGUUCAACCAGGAAGCUGAAUAUGGUGGACAUGAUCAAAUAGAUUUGUAUGAUGAUGUCAUCUCUCCAUCUGCAAAUAAUGGCGAUGCCCCAGAGGACCGUGAUUAUAUGGACUCUCUCCCACCAUCAGUUGGAGAUGACGUAGGUAAAGGAGCAGCACCAAAUGUUGUCUAUACAUAUACUGGAAAGAGAAUUGCAUUGUACAUUGGAAAUCUUACUUGGUGGACAACAGAUGAAGACUUAACUGAAGCAGUGCAUUCACUGGGAGUAAAUGAUAUUUUGGAGAUAAAAUUUUUUGAAAACCGUGCUAAUGGCCAGUCAAAGGGGUUUGCCCUUGUAGGUGUGGGAUCUGAAGCAUCCUCCAAAAAGUUGAUGGAUCUCUUGCCUAAAAGAGAAUUGCAUGGGCAAAAUCCUGUUGUAACUCCAUGCAAUAAGCAGUUCCUGAGUCAGUUUGAAAUGCAGUCAAGGAAAACUACACAAUCAGGCCAGAUGUCUGGAGAAGGUAAAGCUGGUCCUCCAGGAGGUGGCUCACGUGCAGCGUUUCCACCAAAUAACAGAGGACGAGGCCGUUUUCCAGGUGGCAUUCCAGGUGGGGACAGAUUCCCUGGACCUGCAGGACCAGGAGGACCACCACCUCCUUUCCCUGCUGGACAAACUCCACCACGUCCACCUCUAGGUCCUCCUGGUCCCCCAGGCCCACCAGGUCCUCCACCUCCUGGUCAAGUUCUUCCACCUCCAUUAGCUGGGCCUCCUAAUCGUGGUGACCGUCCACCACCACCAGUUCUGUUUCCUGGACAACCCUUUGGUCAGCCUCCGCUGGGUCCACUUCCUCCUGGUCCUCCACCUCCAGUUCCAGGCUAUGGCCCCCCUCCAGGUCCACCACCACCACAGCAAGGUCCACCUCCGCCUCCCGGUCCUUUUCCCCCUCGUCCGCCUGGUCCACUUGGGCCUCCCCUGACACUUGCUCCUCCUCCACAUCUUCCCGGGCCACCUCCAGGUGCUCCCCCACCUGCUCCACACGUGAAUCCAGCUUUCUUCCCCCCACCAGCCAAUAGUGGCAUACCUACUUCAGACAGUCGUGGUCCACCACCAACAGAUCCAUAUGGCCGACCUCCGCCUUAUGACAGGGGUGACUAUGGUCCACCUGGCAGGCGUUUCACUGGAAAUAACAUGUCCAUAAGAGAACAAUUACAUAUUCCAUUGUAUUGGAGGCAUACGAAAAAUAAUACUCAAAACUCAGGGAGAGAAAUGGAUGCGGCAAGAACACCUUUAAGUGAAGCAGAGUUUGAAGAAAUCAUGAAUAGAAAUAGGGCCAUCUCAAGCAGUGCCAUUUCAAGAGCUGUGUCAGAUGCCAGUGCUGGGGACUAUGGAAGUGCUAUAGAGACCUUAGUAACUGCUAUUUCCUUAAUUAAACAAUCCAAAGUAUCUGCUGAUGAUCGUUGUAAAGUACUUAUUAGCUCUCUGCAGGAUUGCCUUCAUGGAAUUGAGUCUAAGUCUUACGGUUCUGGAUCAAGAAGACGUGAACGGUCAAGAGAGAGGGACCACAGCAGGUCAAGAGAAAAAAGCAGGCGUCACAAGUCCCGUAGCAGAGAUCGCCAUGAUGACUAUUACCGGGAAAGAAGCCGUGAACGAGAGAGACAUCGUGAUCGUGACAGAGAUCGUGAUAGAGAACGUGACAGAGAACGAGAGUAUCGCCAUCGUUAGAGAAGAAUCUGAAGAGAACUUUGAAAAAGAGGGGACUCAGUGCAGAAACGGAGGGCUUCAAGACGGAUGAUGGGACUCUACUUCCUUUUAAAGUGGUGUCACUCAGUCUCCCAGCUGCUCCAUGGAGGUGUGGGGAAGAAUACUUGUGUUCCUCUGUCUACCUCCCCACAGAGCCUCUCAGGGCUGUUGAUAUCAGAAGGGAACAUGCGGUGUUUGAAGCAGUAUCGCAGUUUGGACUUCUCCACUCCACAGGACACAGGGAAACUGCAGAGGGCAAAGGCCUCAGUCUGCAAAAGGGAAGAAAAGUGGAAAAUUAAUCAAGGACCCCAAAUUGGGUUGAUCUCUGGUUGAAAUGAUUAAACAGGAUGAGAGCAUGGACACUCACCAGGACCCCUGCUCUUACAAAAUGAAUCCAGCCCUGUGUCUAGAGCACACAAUUCAAGUGAGGUCUGCAAUUCACAUUGUUUCUUGCAAGGUAAAUGAAGAUGUGGUUUCUGGCAGAUCACUGGAAAUUUUUAAAUCAAGAUUAAAAAAAAACAUUUAAAGAGAUGCUUUAGUGCAAGCACAACUAUUGGACCUGAUGCAAGAAUUAUAUAAGAAAGUCCAAUGGCCUAUGUUCUGCAAGAAGGCACACUGCACUAUCACAAUGGUCCCCUUUUGGCCUUAAAAAUCUAUGAAUCAGCUUGGCUUUGCAAAAGCUCUCAAUCGUCCAUCCAAACUUUGCUAUUGAAAAAGUAGAUGGGUCUUACAUUUUCUAAGGCAUUUGCACAGCAUGAUAAAUUGUUUAUUUCUCACAUAUAUUUUGGCUACAUAGAAGUUACCUGAAAACAUAGCUGGGGGAUUUUUAUUAUUAUUUUUUAGGAACUCGUGUUGUGUUCUGUGCUGUACAAGAAUCAGCUGCUGGGACAGUCUGCCGAGGAGUGUUAACCGUGUGGGAAACAGACACAGAACAAUACUCACUGGGGGAAGAUAAUUUUGGCUGAGACACUUUGGACAGCUUGGAGGGAUGGUAUCGGUGAUAAAGGUAUCAGAGUGGCAACAGAGGGGUGGUAAGAGUACCUGAGGUGGGAGAUCAGAUUGGGAACAAGUUUUGACUGUUGGGAUGGAAAGGAAAAGUCAGAUGUCCAAAAUGGGGAGAAGUGUCAUGAUUUAAUGACAGCCUGGAGGGGUGGUGAGGAGUUGUCAGAGAAGGCACAGGAUGUAAACCUGAGAGAGGAGGCGGAUGGUUGAGGGAGGAAGAGUGGAGGGCUGAGGAGGAAAAUUGAGAGAUGAGGCGGAUGGUUGAGGGAGGAAGAGUGGAGGGCUGAGGAGGAAAAUUGAGCUCUGUUUUGAUCAGGUUGAGUUGGAGCUGGCACUGAGCCAUAGAAAUUCCCCCUACCUCCUGCUUAUACACAGCAUGGUGUGUGCCAGAUUAGAAAAAAAAGCUCCAUUAAACAGGUGUGUUUAUAUUGGUGCAGCAAAGGGUGAGCACACCCAGACCUCCAGAAUCUGCCCAAAGACGUUUUUUCCACUACACUUACAGAAACUCUCUGCUGCUGUUGGAGUAAAGCUAAAGAAUAGUUGAAGACUGUUUCCAAACAUAGUUCUUCCCUUCACCCAUUGAUGGGAACUUGCUGCCAUUUUUUUUGCUGGUCCUGUUCAUCACUUCUGAGCAGGAAAUACCCCCUUUCUGACCCCAAUCAGCCACUGGAGACCCACUCCCACACCUACCCACCCCAUGUCAGAGAAGAGCCAUCUACUUUAAGAAACAAAGGGGACUCAAUUCUCAACCAGCCAUCAACACAGAAGGGACAGGCUGCAGGACAUCACCCCUACCUACCAGAAUUGCUGCCAUCAGAGGCCACAGGACAGCCACCUGCAUCAUUGCUACUUCUGUCAGGAAGAGCUGCCAGUAUCAGUGGUAGCAGCCUGGGUUUACUACACUGCCAACAUGAAGGUUUUGCUAAUCCUGGGGCUUUUCCUCCUGCCCGUGGCUGCUCAUGGGAAGAUCUACGGAAGGUGUGAGCUGGCAAGAGCAAUGAAAAGGCUUGGGCUGGAUGGAUACUGGGGCUACAGCCUGGGACACUGUAAGUCUGCUGCCUUGGAGGAGAUGUCCAUGUGAUUCAGAGGGUAGGCAGGUGAUUUACCCAUUGAAUUAAUCCUAGACAUUAGAGAUGGAAAAACCUCCUAGGUUAUCUAGUCUGUCCUUGGCACAGGCUGGUUCCCUGCAGUGUAUUGCCUACAGCUGUGCUCAGUCUUGUUUAAAAUGUCCCAAGCAAUGGGAAUAUCACUUCUUCCCUGAAACCCUCCCACAGUUAAACAGCUUGCACUGUCAGGAACCUUUUCCUGACACCAGUCUGAGAGACCUUCCCCCAAUUCCAUCGCAUUAUUCCUAGUUAUAGCCUUUGUACAAUUCCAUGUUUGAUGUCUGCACCCCUCACGCUCUGCUCUUUGAGCCUCACUGUAGCUGAGCAGGGAGACAGUGCUGGAUUUGGGAUGCAGAGCACAGCACAAGGCCUGGGUGGGAGGAUCACCAGCAGCAUCUCAAAACCCCCCAAUUCAAACUUAUGUGAUUAAAUUCGAGACGAUGGGCUGAGGGAGAGGGAUCCUUGGAGAGCCUGGAUGGAGAAUAAGGGGUGGGGCAGUUUAGAAGUGAGGAAGAGAGGGGGAAUCAGGACUCAUAGAAGAGCACAUAAGACGAGUGGGCCCCACGGGCGAGAGAAGGGUGAGGGCCUUUCUUCAUUUGUUAGCAGUGAUAGGAAAUUAUUAUUCAACUAGUUUGUUUUUAAGGUUUGUUUACCUGUGUUCUGAGCCACAAUCCAGAGAGUUAAACACACAUGAUGUUUAUGCAGCCCUGAAUAUCUCAAAUCAAAGACUCCUUCCUUCUAACCUGACUAAUUCAGAUCCACUUGCUGUAAAUGAGGAAAGAAUAAGAGUGCUCUGGUUAAAGUUUACCAUCAUUGCUAAUACUUAUGCAGCACCAUCUAUGGAAACAAAGGUGACGGCACUAGCAUAGAUAAAACUUCAGCAGGUGCCGUGGUUUAGACCUAUUUUCAACAGGAAUGGACAAAGCAGUAUUAAAAUGCCAAUGGCUACCUGGAGCCCUCUUUACAGUAGGUCUUUCACCAUUGAUCCUCCCCCUGUUGGAAACAGCAGGAAAGAAAUGUUCCAUCUCACUUAACUGCAUUUUAUGAGUUCAUUACACGCAGAGUCAUUCCCUGCCAGAGAAAUGAUGAUGUUUCCCCAUGUCUUUCCUUAGUAAUAUUUAUUGGUUUUGAUUUGCAUGUUGUUAAUAUUUUCUUUAGAAAGGUGUUUCUGUCUCUGUAGCAUUUUACCCCAAAACACUGGUGUUUCCUUCAAAGAUGUAGGCCCCAUGCAGUGUUCAGAUGACAAUCAAAAGUUUUAUAUAUAGAAUGAUUUUUCUUACACUUCAUAUUUAAUAAGGAUUGUGACUCUCAUAAGAAUAAAAGGAAGAAAAGCUGGCUGUGUGUACUUUGUAUUAAAUCAUUUGCAUAAUCUACAAACAGGUGAUAAGGGGUGUUUAGAUCCAUAUUUCUGUAAAAUAUCAAGCUAUGAGGAGUUUUUAUCAGCAGAGAAAAUACAUCAAUCUGUGUGUGGUUAUUUUUUUAAAACGGAACCUUCACAAGGGUGUGCACAGCAAGAUACGAGAGCGACUUUAACACAGGUGCCACGCAUUAUAGCUAACCUUCCAGAAGCACUGACUAUGGGAUUUUUCAAAUCAACAGCCGCUGUUGGUGUAAUGAUGGCAAGACUCCAAGAGCCAAGAACGCAUGUGGAAUCCAGUGUCGUGGUAGGGGCAAAGUAAUCUGCUUGACACCAUCACAUUGUUCACUCUGUGUGUUACAUCCCUUUCUCCCACGGUGCAUCUGUCUCUCUAUUAUAUUGUAAGCUCUUCAAAACAAGGACUAUCUGCUACUCUGCUUGCACCACAGGCCCCAUUCUUGGUGGGUCCUUAGAUACCACAGUAAUAAAUGUGAUUGAUUAAUACAGAAAUUAGUUUUUAUUAUUAUUAAUCAGUUUUAAGAUGACUGAUUCAAAAAAAUGAAGAGGAAAAUGUUGAUUUUUUUUCCCCUCCCACUAUAUUUACUACUGUAUUUCUUUUUUUUCCUUACUGACAGCAGACAUUACAGCGGGUGUAAACUGUGCAAAGAGAAUUGUUCGCAUUUCCAAUGGCAUGAGUGCAUGGGUGGCGUGGAAAAAGUACUGCGGAGGAUGAGAUGUCUCCCGGUGGAUCAAGGGCUGCAAGCUGUAAAAUGUUGGGAUUUAUACCAGCUUGGUCCUCUUGCAAAUAAGCAGCUUUUCACAUAGAGCAAAAUGUUCCCUCUGCCUCUUCCCUUUUACAAUUAAUCAUGUUCAAAAUAAAACAAACUCAGGAGAAAGGUUUGCAGGGCAACUGACUAGUGAAAUGCAAAUAUUUUACUCCUUGCUGGUAAGACUGUGGAUCUUUCCAUGUAACGAGCUAAAGUAACUUAUUUUGUGUUAUACAAAGUUCAAAAGAUAUAUGAUUACCUCUAUAUUAUAUAUACACAUCCAGAUAAGUCAGAUCUGUUUUUCCUUUAUGAGAUCCUGCUACUAUUUUGUUGUGCUAAUUAGUAGUAGUAUGUCAUCUUGCUUGAGAGCUCACAUUCAUUACAAUCAAUAAAAUUACUUACUUUGCAC